AACGCUGAAGAGAGGAGCUGUCUCUUCUUGGAUGAGUUGCGAACGGGUGAGUAACGCGUAGGUAACCUGCCUGGUAGCGGGGGAUAACUAUUGGAAACGAUAGCUAAUACCGCAUAAAAUGGAUUAUCGCAUGAUAAUCCAUUGAAAGGUGCAAAUGCAUCACUACCAGAUGGACCUGCGUUGUAUUAGCUAGUUGGUGGGGUAACGGCUCACCAAGGCGACGAUACAUAGCCGACCUGAGAGGGUGAUCGGCCACACUGGGACUGAGACACGGCCCAGACUCCUACGGGAGGCAGCAGUAGGGAAUCUUCGGCAAUGGACGGAAGUCUGACCGGGCAACGCCGCGUGAGUGAAGAAGGUUUUCGGAUCGUAAAGCUCUGUUGUAAGAGAAGAACGAGUGUGAGAGUGGAAAGUUCACACUGUGACGGUAUCUUACCAGAAAGGGACGGCUAACUACGUGCCAGCAGCCGCGGUAAUACGUAGGUCCCGAGCGUUGUCCGGAUUUAUUGGGCGUAAAGCGAGCGCAGGCGGUUAGAUAAGUCUGAAGUUAAAGGCUGUGGCUUAACCAUAGUACGCUUUGGAAACUGUUUAACUUGAGUGCAAGAGGGGAGAGUGGAAUUCCAUGUGUAGCGGUGAAAUGCGUAGAUAUAUGGAGGAA
rnacentral:rRNA from 1 species